rnacentral:sRNA from 1 species
AUGCACCUCGCGGACACGCCGGUUGCUGCGCGCCGCCCACGUUCACCUGACGUCCGCGCGUUUCGGGUUGCCAACC